rfam:Gossypium raimondii Chr05_contig_1335, whole genome shotgun sequence.
UGAUAAAAAUUUCAUCCAGUUUUACUGUUAAAAACUGGCUUGACUAUCGAAAUAACCAGACAAUUAUACAUGAUGUAACGUGUAUCUCAUGCUGACUUACAAAUAUCAUUUUUAAAUAGUAAAAACAGAUGAAAGUUUUUA